UAGGGAAUCUUCGGCAAUGGACGAAAGUCUGACCGAGCAACGCCGCGUGAGUGAAGAAGGUUUUCGGAUCGUAAAACUCUGUUGUUAGAGAAGAACAAGGACGUUAGUAACUGAACGUCCCCUGACGGUAUCUAACCAGAAAGCCACGGCUAACUACGUGCCAGCAGCCGCGGUAAUACGUAGGUGGCAAGCGUUGUCCGGAUUUAUUGGGCGUAAAGCGAGCGCAGGCGGUUUCUUAAGUCUGAUGUGAAAGCCCCCGGCUCAACCGGGGAGGGUCAUUGGAAACUGGGAGACUUGAGUGCAGAAGAGGAGAGUGGAAUUCCAUGUGUAGCGGUUAAAUGCGUAGAUAUAUGGAGGCACACCAGUGGCGAAGGCAGCUCUCUGGUCUGUAACUGACGCUGAGGCUCGAAAGCGUGGGGAGCAAACAGG
rnacentral:rRNA from 1 species